AGCGGGUGAAAAGCCCGCUCGCCGGAAGACCAAGGGUUCCUGUCCAACGUUAAUCGGGGCAGGGUGAGUCGACCCCUAAGGCGAGGCCGAAAGGCGUAGUCGAUGGGAAACAGGUUAAUAUUCCUGUACUUGGUGUUACUGCGAAGGGGGGACGGAGAAGGCUAUGUUAGCCGGGCGACGGUUGUCCCGGUUUAAGCAUGUAGGCUGAUUGUCCAGGCAAAUCCGGAUAAUCAAGGCUGAGGUGUGAUGACGAGGCACUACGGUGCUGAAGUAACAAAUGCCCUGCUUCCAGGAAAAGCCUCUAAGCAUCAGGUAACAUUAAAUCGUACCCCAAACCGACACAGGUGGUCAGGUAGAGAAUACCAAGGCGCUUGAGAGAACUCGGGUGAAGGAACUAGGCAAAAUGGUGCCGUAACUUCGGGAGAAGGCACGCUGGUGUGUAGGUGAAGUCCCUGCGGAUGGAGCUGAGACCAGUCGAAGAUACCAGCUGGCUGCAACUGUUUAUUAAAAACACAGCACUGUGCAAACACGAAAGUGGACGUAUACGGUGUGACGCCUGCCCGGUGCCGGAAGGUUAAUUGAUGGGGUUAUCCGUAAGGAGAAGCUCUUGAUCGAAGCCCCGGUAAACGGCGGCCGUAACUAUAACGGUCCUAAGGUAGCGAAAUUCCUUGUCGGGUAAGUUCCGACCUGCACGAAUGGCGUAAUGAUGGCCAGGCUGUCUCCACCCGAGACUCAGUGAAAUUGAACUCGCUGUGAAGAUGCAGUGUACCCGCGGCAAGACGGAAAGACCCCGUGAACCUUUACUAUAGCUUGACACUGAACAUUGAGCCUUGAUGUGUAGGAUAGGUGGGAGGCUUUGAAGCGUGGACGCCAGUCUGCGUGGAGCCAACCUUGAAAUACCACCCUUUAAUGUUUGAUGUUCUAACGUUGGCCCCUGACCGGGGUUGCGGACAGUGUCUGGUGGGUAGUUUGACUGGGGCGGUCUCCUCCCAAAGCGUAACGGAGGAGCACGAAGGUUAGCUAAUCCUGGUCGGACAUCAGGAGGUUAGUGCAAUGGCAUAAGCUAGCUUGACUGCGAGCGUGACGGCGCGAGCAGGUGCGAAAGCAGGUCAUAGUGAUCCGGUGGUUCUGAAUGGAAGGGCCAUCGCUCAACGGAUAAAAGGUACUCCGGGGAUAACAGGCUGAUACCGCCCAAGAGUUCAUAUCGACGGCGGUGUUUGGCACCUCGAUGUCGGCUCAUCACAUCCUGGGGCUGAAGUAGGUCCCAAGGGUAUGGCUGUUCGCCAUUUAAAGUGGUACGCGAGCUGGGUUUAGAACGUCGUGAGACAGUUCGGUCCCUAUCUGCCGUGGGCGCUGGAGAAUUGAGGGGGGCUGCUCCUAGUACGAGAGGACCGGAGUGGACGCAUCACUGGUGUUCGGGUUGUCAUGCCAAUGGCACUGCCCGGUAGCUAAAUGCGGAAGAGAUAAGUGCUGAAAGCAUCUAAGCACGAAACUUGCCCCGAGAUGAGUUCUCCCUGAGACUUUAAGUCUCCUGAAGGAACGUUAAAGACGAUGACGUUGAUAGGCCGGGUGUGUAAGCGCAGCGAUGCGUUGAGCUAACCGGUACUAAUGAACCGUGAGGCUUAACCUU
rnacentral:rRNA from 1 species